GACGAACGCUGGCGGCGUGCCUAAUACAUGCAAGUAGAACGCUGAAGAGAGGAGCUUGCUCUUCUUGGAUGAGUUGCGAACGGGUGAGUAACGCGUAGGUAACCUGCCUUGUAGCGGGGGAUAACUAUUGGAAACGAUAGCUAAUACCGCAUAACAAUGGAUGACACAUGUCAUUUAUUUGAAAGGGGCAAUUGCUCCACUACAAGAUGGACCUGCGUUGUAUUAGCUAGUAGGUGAGGUAAUGGCUCACCUAGGCGACGAUACAUAGCCGACCUGAGAGGGUGAUCGGCCAGACUGGGACUGAGACACGGCCCAGACUCCUACGGGAGGCAGCAGUAGGGAAUCUUCGGCAAUGGGGGCAACCCUGACCGAGCAACGCCGCGUGAGUGAAGAAGGUUUUCGGAUCGUAAAGCUCUGUUGUAAGUCAAGAACGGGUGUGAGAGUGGAAAGUUCACACUGUGACGGUAGCUGACCAGAAAGGGACGGCUAACUACGUG
rnacentral:rRNA from 1 species